rnacentral:rRNA from 1 species
GGGCACACUGGAACUGAGACACGGUCCAGACUCCUACGGGAGGCAGCAGUAGGGAAUAUUGCUCAAUGGGGGAAACCCUGAAGCAGCAACGCCGCGUGGAGGAUGAAGGUUUUAGGAUUGUAAACUCCUUUUGUUAGAGAAGAUAAUGACGGUAUCUAACGAAUAAGCACCGGCUAACUCCGUGCCAGCAGCCGCGGUAAUACGGAGGGUGCAAGCGUUACUCGGAAUCACUGGGCGUAAAGAGCGCGUAGGCGGGAUAGUCAGUCAGGUGUGAAAUCCUAUGGCUUAACCAUAGAACUGCAUUUGAAACUACUAUUCUAGAGUGUGGGAGAGGUAGGUGGAAUA